rnacentral:rRNA from 1 species
UACGUAGGGUCCGAGCGUUGUCCGGAAUUAUUGGGCGUAAAGGGCUCGUAGGCGGUCUGUUACGUCGGGAGUGAAAACUCGGGGCUCAACCCCGAGCCUGCUUCCGAUACGGGCAGACUAGAGGUAUGCAGGGGAGAAUGGAAUUCCUGGUGUAGCGGUGAAAUGCGCAGAUAUCAGGAGGAACACCGGUGGCGAAGGCGGAUCUCUGGGCCGUAACUGACGCUGAGGAGCGAAAGCAUGGGUAGCGAACAGG